GAAACUCCGACAAGGCGAAGACUCUUGCAAAGAGCAGAGACUGAACUGAAAGAGACUCGAAAGCCACGUCCUGCGAAAGAAACGCGCAAGAGGCCCGUGCGACCAUCCACAAUCUCGUCCAGCAGAGACAAGAUCCCGAACACGAACUUGACCCACAGAGUUGCAACACUCUUAUAGACUGCAGCAUGAACGGGAAAGGGGAAACACACACCACAAGUUCCCCCUGACCGGCCUGCACGUUUCAGCCAACACACAAGAGCUGAAAAAGGGGGUGGAAAAGCCCGCCUUCCACAGCAUCUCUGACAAUCUACAAGACAUUGACUUUUCACCUGCGGUCUCCAACCGGUGAACACAUGACACCGACACCCAGCAGGACAGACCCAGGAGGGCCUGUGCUAUCACCACCAGGCUCCGAACGAGUUCGCUGUGGAACUUACAACGAACCUGUAACUGAGGAGGACGCCAGUUUCAAGAAACUUUUCCUCCAAAACCCGUCAGUCACCAUAGUUCUCCUGCCCCCACGCAAUGCCCACUCAACGAUGCGCGAAGGCCCACUCAGUAAGAAUUCCUAAAACCCCAAAUUAUUCUGAACUGCAAAUCCAGAAGACACACUGCACGAACGCCUUGCGAGACUCUGCUUUUGUAGAAUUAGAAUUUUACUAAGUUAAAGGAAUCUUAGAUAGACAUGUAAGCCUCAACGGCCGACAGACUAUGCACGACUCUUUUGAAACUAACAGUUUCUAGAUGUUGUUUAAAUCGGCACCGUUAAACAUUAGGUUUCGUGACAGUGCAGAGUUACAGAACACACCAGCUCCAAAUAGGGCAUACCUUACCCUGAUGACAGAGUGUAGUAAAAUCACCCGAGUUGUAAACUACUGUUAACCCACAGGCGUGCACUUGAUCAUCGCGAUCCAACUAAAACACAACGUGCAAUACGCAUUUUGAUCGCUGGCUUGUCUAAAUGCAGAUAAAACGAAUAGCUGAAAUUGACGUCUCUACUUUAAGUAAAAAAAAAAAAAAGCCUUAGAUUCCCAACUGGUAUCAGGAACUUCAGCAUUAAAGCGUAAGUCUGUGUAACAAAGGUACCCUCUCAGCAGCUUGUAAUCUGUACCGAUAUCUAUUCUGCUUUGGUUAUAAAGAAA